UACGGAGGGGGGCGAGCGUUAUUCGGAAUUAUUGGGGCGUAAAGGGCGCAUAGGCGGCCCGGUAAGUCAAAGGUGAAAUCCCUCGGCUCAACUGAGGAACUGCCUUUGAAACUGUCGGGCUUGAGGCCGGGAGGGGGUAGCGGAAUUCCCAGUGUAGCGGUGAAAUGCGUAGAUAUUGGGAGGAACACCAGUGGCGAAGGCGGCUACCUGGACCGGUUCUGACGCUGAGGCGCGAAAGCGUGGGUAGCAAACAGG
rnacentral:rRNA from 1 species